CCUCCUACGGGAGGCAGCAGUGGGGAAUAUUGCACAAUGGGGGAAACCCUGAUGCAGCGACGCCGCGUGAGUGAGGAAGUAUUUCGGUAUGUAAAGCUCUAUCAGCAGGGAAGAAAAUGACGGUACCUGACUAAGAAGCCCCGGCUAACUACGUGCCAGCAGCCGCGGUAAUACGUAGGGGGCAAGCGUUAUCCGGAUUUACUGGGUGUAAAGGGAGCGUAGACGGCGAUGCAAGUCUGAAGUGAAAGGCGGGGGCCC
rnacentral:rRNA from 1 species